CCUACACCACCACAGAGCAUUUUAUGGGCACUGGACUAAGACUCAGGAGAUACUCUCUGUGCCUCCGUUUUCCUUUUGCAACCUUUAUCCGUCUGAUCUAUAUAGACUGUACACUCUUUGAAGCAGGAAAUGUCUCUCACUCUUCGUAUAGUGACAUCACAGCAAAGAAGAGUUUUGAGGAUGGAUUUGAAGGUGGAUAAUGAGAUGGAGAAACUGAAGCUCAGAGAGGUUAAGUGACGUACUCAAGGAUACCUGACACGCGUGGCAGAGGUGGAAAUAGAAUUCAAUUCCUUGAAUCAUAAACCCAUCCUUCUUCCCUAACGUACAAACCAAGAAAACAAAAGUGACAAUCAGUAUGUGACAGACUUUUAAG